rnacentral:rRNA from 1 species
GACGAACGCUGGCGGCGUGCUUAACACAUGCAAGUCGAACGGAAAGGCCCUGCUUUUGUGGGGUGCUCGAGUGGCGAACGGGUGAGUAACACGUGAGUAACCUGCCCUUGACUUUGGGAUAACUUCAGGAAACUGGGGCUAAUACCGGAUAGGAGCUCCUGCUGCAUGGUGGGGGUUGGAAAGCUUCGGCGGUUGGGGAUGGACUCGCGGGUUAUCAGCUUGUUGGUGGGGUAGUGGCUUACCAAGGCUUUGACGGGUAGCCGGCCUGAGAGGGUGACCGGCCACAUUGGGACUGAGGUACGGCCCAGACUCCUACGGGAGGCAGCAGUGGGGAAUAUGGCACAAUGGGCGGAAGCCUGAUGCAGCAACGCCGCGUGCGGGAUGACGGCCUUAGGGUUGUAAACCGCUUUCGCCUGGGACGAAGCGUGAGUGACGGUAAUGGGUAAAGAAGCACCGGCUAACUACGUG